rnacentral:rRNA from 1 species
AACAGGAUUAGAUACCCUGGUAGUCCACGCCGUAAACGAUGGGUACUAGGUGUAGGGGGUAUCGACUCCCUCUGUGCCGCAGUUAACACAAUAAGUACCCCGCCUGGGGAGUACGGUCGCAAGAUUAAAACUCAAAGGAAUUGACGGGGACCCGCACAAGCAGCGGAGCAUGUGGUUUAAUUCGAAGCAACGCGAAGAACCUUACCUAGACUUGACAUCCCCUGCAUAACCUAGAGAUAGGCGAAGUCCUUCGGGACAGGGUGACAGGUGGUGCAUGGUUGUCGUCAGCUCGUGUCGUGAGAUGUUGGGUUAAGUCCCGCAACGAGCGCAACCCUUAUCAUUAGUUGCUACCAUUUAGUUGAGCACUCUAAUGAGACUGCCCGGGUUAACCGGGAGGAAGGUGGGGAUGACGUCAAAUCAUCAUGCCCCUUAUGUCUAGGGCUACACACGUGCUACAAUGGGCAGUACAGUGAGAUGCAAACUCGUGAGGGUGAGCCAAACUAUAAAACUGUUCCCAGUUCGGAUUGUAGGCUGCAACUCGCCUGCAUGAAGCCGGAGUUGCUAGUAAUCGCGAAUCAGCAUGUCGCGGUGAAUACGUUCCCGGGUCUUGUACACACCGCCCGUCACACCAUGAGAGUUAGCAAUACCCGAAGUCCGUGAGGUAACCGUAAGGAGCCAGCGGCCGAAGGUAGGGUUAGCGAUUGGGGUGAAGUCGUAACAAGGUAACC